rnacentral:lncRNA from 1 species
AUAUAUACAGCUAUAAUAAGACUUUGUACUAUUCUAUUUAUGAAAGGCAAAACGGAAUACUAGUGAUAAAAUUUAUCUUUCUUUCAUCUCUCCCUCUGUAUUUUUCCUCAAUCGCCAUUUCGCCCUCCUUAUUUUACUCGCUCUCUCUCUACUCUCUCUAUCUCUCUAAUAUGUAAUGUUCAGAUAAUAUAUUGUUGUAUUCUAUUCUAUUUACGAAGCGUAAAAUAGAAUUAGAAUUUAUACAUUCUCUCUCUCUCUCUCUCUCUCUCUCUCUCUCUCUCUCUCUCUCUCUCUCUCUCUCUCUCUCUCUCUCUCUCUCUCUCUCUCUCUCUCUCUCUCUCUCUCUCUCUCACACACACACACACACACACACACACAUCCCCAUCCUCAUCAAUCUAUUCGGCAUCCUCAUCUAUCUGUUUGACAUCCUCCCUUUCCUUCCCCUCCAUCCCUCUUUCUCUCUCUCUUUUCAUUGUCUUCCAUAAACUCAUCUUCGAAUUUUUCUCUAUAAUCUCCAUCUUUGCAUUUUUUUUCUUCUUUUUUCUCUUCAUUUUUUUCUUGUUGUUUAUAUAUCCAUUCAUAUACUAUACUAUAGAGUCAUCAAACAUAGAAUUAUAUAUUUUUAUUCUUUAUAAUAUAUAGCUAUAUUGAUUCUUUACGUAAUGUAUUUUGCACUAAAUAUUUGGCUUACUAAUAAAUAUGUUCUUUAAUAUUGUCCACUGCUUAAACUGCAUUAAAUCCUGUAAAUAAAUAGUACUAUAGAACUCAAAUUAUUGUCUAACAUUACAUUUUAUGUUUGGAAUAAUCUAUUCUAUAAAUGUGUUAUACAUAGAAUAGUAUAUGUUUCUAAUUUAUGGUAAUACACACGUUCACGCACCGUGAAGGACUAUAACGUCUGAUUAUAUCUCAAAAAAACAUAUUUUUCGAGGCAUGACUAUAUUUUUUAUUGUCAGGCUUCAUAUGAAUAUUGAGCGUGACCUCAACUAUCUAUUUGACAUCCUCCCUCUCCUUCCCCUCCAU